GUAGGGCGGGACACGUGGUAUCCUGUCUGAAUAUGGGGGGACCAUCCUCCAAGGCUAAAUACUCCUGACUGACCGAUAGUGAACCAGUACCGUGAGGGAAAGGCGAAAAGAACCCCGGCGAGGGGAGUGAAAAAGAACCUGAAACCGUGUACGUACAAGCAGUGGGAGCCUCUUUUAUGGGGUGACUGCGUACCUUUUGUAUAAUGGGUCAGCGACUUAUAUUCUGUAGCAAGGUUAACCGAAUAGGGGAGCCGAAGGGAAACCGAGUCUUAACUGGGCGUUAAGUUGCAGGGUAUAGACCCGAAACCCGGUGAUCUAGCCAUGGGCAGGUUGAAGGUUGGGUAACACUAACUGGAGGACCGAACCGACUAAUGUUGAAAAAUUAGCGGAUGACUUGUGGCUGGGGGUGAAAGGCCAAUCAAACCGGGAGAUAGCUGGUUCUCCCCGAAAGCUAUUUAGGUAGCGCCUCGUGAAUUCAUCUCCGGGGGUAGAGCACUGUUUCGGCAAGGGGGUCAUCCCGACUUACCAACCCGAUGCAAACUGCGAAUACCGGAGAAUGUUAUCACGGGAGACACACGGCGGGUGCUAACGUCCGUCGUGAAGAGGGAAACAACCCAGACCGCCAGCUAAGGUCCCAAAGUCAUGGUUAAGUGGGAAACGAUGUGGGAAGGCCCAGACAGCCAGGAUGUUGGCUUAGAAGCAGCCAUCAUUUAAAGAAAGCGUAAUAGCUCACUGGUCGAGUCGGCCUGCGCGGAAGAUGUAACGGGGCUAAACCAUGCACCGAAGCUGCGGCAGCGACGCUUAUGCGUUGUUGGGUAGGGGAGCGUUCUGUAAGCCUGUGAAGGUGUGCUGUGAGGCAUGCUGGAGGUAUCAGAAGUGCGAAUGCUGACAUAAGUAACGAUAAAGCGGGUGAAAAGCCCGCUCGCCGGAAGACCAAGGGUUCCUGUCCAACGUUAAUCGGGGCAGGGUGAGUCGACCCCUAAGGCGAGGCCGAAAGGCGUAGUCGAUGGGAAACAGGUUAAUAUUCCUGUACUUGGUGUUACUGCGAAGGGGGGACGGAGAAGGCUAUGUUGGCCGGGCGACGGUUGUCCCGGUUUAAGCGUGUAGGCUGGUUUUCCAGGCAAAUCCGGAAAAUCAAGGCUGAGGCGUGAUGACGAGGCACUACGGUGCUGAAGCAACAAAUGCCCUGCUUCCAGGAAAAGCCUCUAAGCAUCAGGUAACAUCAAAUCGUACCCCAAACCGACACAGGUGGUCAGGUAGAGAAUACCAAGGCGCUUGAGAGAACUCGGGUGAAGGAACUAGGCAAAAUGGUGCCGUAACUUCGGGAGAAGGCACGCUGAUAUGUAGGUGAAGCGACUUGCUCGUGGAGCUGAAAUCAGUCGAAGAUACCAGCUGGCUGCAACUGUUUAUUAAAAACACAGCACUGUGCAAACACGAAAGUGGACGUAUACGGUGUGACGCCUGCCCGGUGCCGGAAGGUUAAUUGAUGGGGUCAGCGCAAGCGAAGCUCUUGAUCGAAGCCCCGGUAAACGGCGGCCGUAACUAUAACGGUCCUAAGGUAGCGAAAUUCCUUGUCGGGUAAGUUCCGACCUGCACGAAUGGCGUAAUGAUGGCCAGGCUGUCUCCACCCGAGACUCAGUGAAAUUGAACUCGCUGUGAAGAUGCAGUGUACCCGCGGCAAGACGGAAAGACCCCGUGAACCUUUACUAUAGCUUGACACUGAACAUUGAGCCUUGAUGUGUAGGAUAGGUGGGAGGCUUUGAAGUGUGGACGCCAGUCUGCAUGGAGCCGACCUUGAAAUACCACCCUUUAAUGUUUGAUGUUCUAACGUUGACCCGUAAUCCGGGUUGCGGACAGUGUCUGGUGGGUAGUUUGACUGGGGCGGUCUCCUCCUAAAGAGUAACGGAGGAGCACGAAGGUUGGCUAAUCCUGGUCGGACAUCAGGAGGUUAGUGCAAUGGCAUAAGCCAGCUUGACUGCGAGCGUGACGGCGCGAGCAGGUGCGAAAGCAGGUCAUAGUGAUCCGGUGGUUCUGAAUGGAAGGGCCAUCGCUCAACGGAUAAAAGGUACUCCGGGGAUAACAGGCUGAUACCGCCCAAGAGUUCAUAUCGACGGCGGUGUUUGGCACCUCGAUGUCGGCUCAUCACAUCCUGGGGCUGAAGUAGGUCCCAAGGGUAUGGCUGUUCGCCAUUUAAAGUGGUACGCGAGCUGGGUUUAGAACGUCGUGAGACAGUUCGGUCCCUAUCUGCCGUGGGCGCUGGAGAACUGAGGGGGGCUGCUCCUAGUACGAGAGGACCGGAGUGGACGCAUCACUGGUGUUCGGGUUGUCAUGCCAAUGGCACUGCCCGGUAGCUAAAUGCGGAAGAGAUAAGUGCUGAAAG
rnacentral:rRNA from 1 species